UUUCGGUGUGAUAAUGAUCACCGUUCUCGCUAGCUGCUAUCAGCGUGAAUUUCCGGUUUGGUGUGAUAAAGAUCACCACUCUGGCUAGCUGCUGAUUAAAAAACGUUGCUUUCUCUGCCUAUAGCUCUGUCGUGCACUGGUGCGACAACCUUUAAUGAACCUUUGACCUCAAAUCAGGUAGGACUACCCGCUGAACUUAA
rnacentral:misc_RNA from 1 species